GUCCCAGAGUCACCACACAGGGUGCUAUUUGGAGUGGUGAUAGAGUAGGUGGUGAGGCAUUGAAAGACACCAAGGUCUUGAAGGAGCUCCAUGUACUGACAGAAAGCAUCAUUUUAGGUGACUGACUUCCCACCCUACGCUGUGGAACUCUGCACCAGAUAACACGGUCACAUCCCAGUCGAAACUUUACAUCUGGCUAAGUCGGCCUAAAC